rnacentral:rRNA from 1 species
AACAGGAUUAGAUACCCUGGUAGUCCACGCCGUAAACGGUGGGCGCUAGGUGUGGGGACUGGUUCCACGGUUUCCGUGCCGUAGCUAACGCAUUAAGCGCCCCGCCUGGGGAGUACGGCCGCAAGGCUAAAACUCAAAGGAAUUGACGGGGGUCCGCACAAGCGGCGGAGCAUGUGGAUUAAUUCGAUGCAACGCGAAGAACCUUACCUGGGUUUGACAUGCACUGGAUCGCCCUAGAGAUAGGGUUUCCCUUGUGGCUGGUGCACAGGUGGUGCAUGGCUGUCGUCAGCUCGUGUCGUGAGAUGUUGGGUUAAGUCCCGCAACGAGCGCAACCCUUGCCCCAUGUUGCCAGCGGUUCGGCCGGGGACUCGUGGGGGACUGCCGGGGUCAACUCGGAGGAAGGUGGGGAUGACGUCAAGUCAUCAUGCCCCUUAUGCCCAGGGCUUCACACAUGCUACAAUGGCCGGUACAGAGGGUGGCGAGACCGUGAGGUGGAGCGAAUCCCAGAAAGCCGGUCUCAGUUCGGAUCGGGGUCUGCAACUCGACCCCGUGAAGUCGGAGUCGCUAGUAAUCGCAGAUCAGCAAUGCUGCGGUGAAUACGUUCCCGGGCCUUGUACACACCGCCCGUCACGUCAUGAAAGUCGGUAACACCCGAAGCCCAUGGCCCAACCCCCGUGUGGGGGAGGGAGUGGUCGAAGGUGGGACUGGCGAUUGGGACGAAGUCGUAACAAGGUAACC